rnacentral:rRNA from 1 species
AGAGUUUGAUCAUGGCUCAGGACGAACGCUGGUGGCGUGCUUAACACAUGCAAGUCGAACGGUGAAGCCCAGCUUGCUGGGUGGAUCAGUGGCGAACGGGUGAGUAACACGUGAGCAACCUGCCCUCCACUUCGGGAUAAGCCUUGGAAACGAGGUCUAAUACCGGAUAUGAGCGCCUGCCGCAUGGUGGGUGUUGGAAAGUUUUUCGGUGGGGGAUGGGCUCGCGGCCUAUCAGCUUGUUGGUGGGGUAAUGGCCUACCAAGGCGUCGACGGGUAGCCGGCCUGAGAGGGCGACCGGCCACACUGGGACUGAGACACGGCCCAGACUCCUACGGGAGGCAGCAGUGGGGAAUAUUGCACAAUGGGCGAAAGCCUGAUGCAGCGACGCCACGUGAGGGAUGACGGCCUUCGGGUUGUAAACCUCUUUCAGCAGGGAAGAAGCGCAAGUGACGGUACCUGCAGAAGAAGCGCCGGCUAACUACGUGCCAGCAGCCGCGGUAAUAC